GUAUGAAACAGCGACGUCUGUUUUACACUUCAUUUUUUACAGUCAUGAAGCGUCAGGCUAUGUAACCUCCUUUAACCACCUGUUUUGACACUUUUUGCACUUUUUUUGGUUCCAAAAGAG